rnacentral:rRNA from 2 species
UAGCGGCGGACGGGUGAGUAACACGUGGGCAACCUGCCUGUAAGACUGGGAUAACUCCGGGAAACCGGGGCUAAUACCGGAUAAUAUCUAUUUAUACAUAUAAUUAGAUUGAAAGAUGGUUCUGCUAUCACUUACAGAUGGGCCCGCGGCGCAUUAGCUAGUUGGUGAGGUAACGGCUCACCAAGGCGACGAUGCGUAGCCGACCUGAGAGGGUGAUCGGCCACACUGGGACUGAGACACGGCCCAGACUCCUACGGGAGGCAGCAGUAGGGAAUCUUCCGCAAUGGACGAAAGUCUGACGGAGCAACGCCGCGUGAGUGAUGAAGGUUUUCGGAUCGUAAAACUCUGUUGUUAGGGAAGAACAAGUAUCGGAGUAACUGCCGGUACCUUGACGGUACCUAACCAGAAAG